rnacentral:lncRNA from 1 species
CUCCUACAUCUGUGACCUCAUCACUUGCCAUUGUCUACCACCACACCUUGGCUCAUGUUCCACAGCACUCACCUCUCUUAAGGAAUUCACCUGAGAAGUAAUGGAACCUGGACUCUCCACUUUUGAGGCAGGGCUGACAGCUGAGCGUGGACGUGGAUGGUGGGGAAAACACAGCUAUGACAGCCUUCCCCACAGUUUAAGGUAUCAACAAAUUUAAUUCUCACUCCACAGGAAGACUCCAGAAGACUAAAAAAAUCUCACUUUGACAGCUUUCAGAUGCCUCCAGUCCCUGCUUCACCCUAUUCAGAUGCACAGAGAUCUUGUGUUGCCCCUGAAGAUACUCUCACUCAGCCUUCCCUCUGUCUGCAGAGAUGGCUUUGACAGCCCCACACCUACAAUCUCCAGCUUCUCUUCUGAGCUGUGCUCAGGGUUCUGCUGCUCUUGGGACCCAGCCUGGUAGCAUGACCCCCACUUCCCCAGCUCCCGCAGUCCUCCCAGCCUGUGAGUCACCAUCGAUUCUUCCAGAGAGGAGUCACUCUCAUCAAAUUUGAAACCUCGUGACACUCUAUACCCAGCAUCUGGCUCACCAAUCAUUUCCGGCUAGUGGGAAAGGUCCUGAUGGUUCAAGGUUGA